UUUUGGGCAAUGGGCGAAAGCCUGACCCAGCAACGCCGCGUGAAGGAUGAAAUCCUUCGGGAUGUAAACUUCGCAAGAACAGGAAGAAUAAGCCGGUGUUAACACCAUCGGUGAUGACGGUACUGUUUGUAAGCUCCGGCUAACUCCGUGCCAGCAGCCGCGGUAAUACGGGGGGAGCAAGCGUUGUUCGGAUUUACUGGGCGUAAAGGGCGCGUAGGCGGCCACCGCAAGUCAGUUGUGAAAUCUCUGGGCUUAACCCAGAAAGGUCAACUGAUACUGCGGGGCUAGAGUGCAGAAGGGGCAACUGGAAUUCUCGGUGUAGCGGUGAAAUGCGUAGAUAUCGAGAGGAACACCUGCGGCGAAGGCGGGUUGCUGGGCUGACACUGACGCUGAGGCGCGAAAGCUAGGGGAGCGAACGG
rnacentral:rRNA from 1 species